UUCUCUUUUUGCCACCUUCUCUCAACUGACCAACAUCUCCUUGCUGCAGCUGCUCCUACUUGGCCACGUGGCCACCCCUGCUACCUUCCAGCCUUUACAAGGACACUCCAUCUCCGUCCACUGCCAUCAAUCUGGUGGCUUUUACUCAUGAUGUCUUGAAGAAGAAGGCUGGAAGGAAACCUGGAGGUCUCACCAGUAGAGAAUAAAAAAUUGCCAUCCUAUGCCAGCAACAAAGAUGUUUGAAAGGAGAAAGUUCCAGUAAGAGAGACACGUCCUGUGAUUGCUGUUUGCUUCUUUAUGCUUUACUCUUUAUUGAUGUAAAAAAAUUAGUUUGUUCAGCUCUUUUUUUUUUUGUUUCCUUCUAAAUAAAUUAUGUAACAUUUUCUGUACUGUAAAAGAUUGGUUUUUGUAUUUGUUACAGAUGUAGUAGUGGAAGUGUUGAAGGCAAAAUAAAAUAUCUUAAAAUAGGCUCAUUUGAAAUAUUAUAUUUGUAUUUGUGAUGUUACAAAGCUACGUGUUGGUAGAGGAAAUCUGGUCAAGAAUGAACCAAGAAUGUGAUUAAUCUUCCAAACAGUUUCUCUGCUGCCGAGACAAUGUAUGUUGAAAAAUAAAGAAUUCUGCUACUUGUCCUGGUUUUGUAGCCAUGUCAGAAAUGUUCAGAGUUCACUGGAGACUGCCUUCAACUUUCUUAGUGCUUAGUUAGAAAUGUAGCUUGAUUGUAGAGCUGGAACUGGUCAAAACUAUUAAAAUGAAAAAUUAUCAUGGAGGUGUUCGUUAUUUUGUUGUUUGCAAUUGAGGGCUCAGGUCAUAAGUGCAGACCCUCCUAA